UACGGAGGGGGGCUAGCGUUGUUCGGAAUUACUGGGGCGUAAAGCGCACGUAGGCGGCUUUUUAAGUCAGAGGUGAAAGCCCCGGGGGCUCAACUCCGGAAUUGCCUUUGAGACUGGAAGGCUUGGACGUCGGAGAGGUGAGUGGAAUUCCGAGUGUAGAGGUGAAAUUCGUAGAUAUUCGGAAGAACACCAGUGGCGAAGGCGACUAACUGGACACGUAUUGACGCUGAGGUACGAAAGCGUGGGGGAGCAAACAGG
rnacentral:rRNA from 1 species